rfam:Cavia porcellus supercont2_7 genomic scaffold, whole genome shotgun sequence.
AGGAAUUUAGCUCAGUGGCAUAAGCACCUGCCUUGCAAGCAGGCGGUCGUGAGUAUGAUCCCCAGUACCUA